AUUGAACGCUGGCGGCAGGCCUAACACAUGCAAGUCGAGCGGAUGAGUGGAGCUUGCUCCAUGAUUCAGCGGCGGACGGGUGAGUAAUGCCUAGGAAUCUGCCUGGUAGUGGGGGAUAACGUUUCGAAAGGAACGCUAAUACCGCAUACGUCCUACGGGAGAAAGCAGGGGACCUUCGGGCCUUGCGCUAUCAGAUGAGCCUAGGUCGGAUUAGCUAGUAGGUGAGGUAAUGGCUCACCUAGGCGACGAUCCGUAACUGGUCUGAGAGGAUGGUCAGUCACACUGGAACUGAGACACGGUCCAGACUCCGACGGGAGGCAGCAGUGGGGAAUAUUGGACAAUGGGCGAAAGCCUGAUCCAGCCAUGCCGCGUGUGUGAAGAAGGUCUUCGGAUUGUAAAGCACUUUAAGUUGGGAGGAAGGGCAGUAAGUUAAUACCUUGCUGUUUUGACGUUACCAACAGAAUAAGCACCGGCUAACUUCGUGCCAGCCGCCGCGGUAACAC
rnacentral:rRNA from 1 species